rnacentral:rRNA from 1 species
GAUGAACGCUGGCGGCGUGCCUAAUACAUGCAAGUCGAGCGAACGGACGAGAAGCUUGCUUCUCUGAUGUUAGCGGCGGACGGGUGAGUAACACGUGGAUAACCUACCUAUAAGACUGGGAUAGCUUCGGGAAACCGUAGCUAAUACCGGAUAAUAUUUUGAACCGCAUGGUUCAAAAGUGAAAGACGGUCUUGCUGUCACUUAUAGAUGGAUCCGCGCUGCAUUAGCUAGUUGGUAGGGUAACGGCUUACCAAGGCAACGAUGCAUAGCCGACCUGAGAGGGUGAUCGGCCACACUGGAACUGAGACACGGUCCAGACUCCUACGGGAGGCAGCAGUAGGGAAUCUUCCGCAAUGGGCGAAAGCCUGACGGAGCAACGCCGCGUGAGUGAUGAAGGUCUUCGGAUCGUAAAACUCUGUUAUUAGGGAAGAACAUAUGUGUAAGUAACUGUGCACAUCUUGACGGUACCUAAUCAGAAAGCCACGGCUAACUACGUG